UGGCGACCAUAUCGCAAAGGUUAUACCUGUUCCCAUUCCGAACACAGCAGUCAAGCUUUGUGAGUCGAUGAUAGUGCCUACCAGUGCGAAAGUAGAUAUUGCCAGAUU
rnacentral:rRNA from 1 species